rnacentral:tRNA from 1 species
GGCGCGGUAGCGAAGUGGUCAAACGCAGUUGACUGUAAAUCAACCGGCAUACGCCUUCGGGGGUUCGAGUCCCUCCCGCGCCA